GCCUGCUGGGAUAGCUCAGUCAGUAGAGCAUGAGACUCUGAAACUCGAGGCUGUGGGUUUGAGCCCCACGUUGGGCA